rnacentral:lncRNA from 1 species
GAAACGAUAUUUCCACUGUUCAUAUACCUUAUUGCAUAUUGAUUCUGGUUGCUUCAUUGCACAAGUGACUAAUUAUUUAUCUCUAGCAAUUAGCAUGAUCACAAAUUUACGUAGUGAAUAGGGAUCCGUACUUGGUCUGUCCUCAUGAUUAGGAUUGAGGGUGUUGAACUUUUGAUACUGUUCUGCAAGCUGAUAUGCUAUUAUUUGAAGAAGAAUUUUUUUUAUAGAUGAGUUUGGUUGGGUCUGUCAAAUUUUGCUGUCAAUAUGUAAUAGUGACAAACUGAUAGUACAUUUUCCAUGAAUUGUUUUUGUGAAAAAUUAUGAAUCUAAGUGUAAUUUGGCAUUUCGUGGUAACAAACUUACAUUGCUAUUCGCUAUAGCACGUUGAGAGAAUAUCAUAGUCUAUCUAAUUCACAUAGCAACGCGCAGCAAUCUAGAUUUCUAGGAGAAGUACCAAUAUGACACAGCUACUGUGUAAUCCUUCAGCUCACAUGGUUCUGUAAUUGCUACAGUGGGAUACUGCUGGGCAAGAGCGUUUCAGGACAAUCACUAGCAGUUACUAUCGGGGAGCUCAUGGAAUCAUUGUAAGUUGACCUUCUGAACUAGUAGUCUUUCUGAAACUUAACCCUCUUGAUCACUUUAUGAUACUAUUUGUAACUUUUGAUUGCUUGCAGAUUGUAUAUGAUGUUACAGACCAAGAAAGCUUCAACAAUGUGAAGCAAUGGUUAAACGAAAUCGAUCGUUAUGCAAGCGACAGUGUUAACAAGCUGCUUGUUGGGAACAAGAGUGAUCUAACUGCCAACAAAGUUGUGGCAACUGAGACAGCAAAGGUAAGUUCUCCAAAUUUCAUGAACGAAUCAUGACAAUGACUGCAAUUGUUCGUGUCCACCACACCCCUAGGUCUUGUUUAGACAUUUACAAUUGAUUAAAAACACCAUUCAGGCGUUUGCUGAUGAGAUGGGCAUCCCAUUCAUGGAGACGAGUGCGAAAAACGCCAUCAAUGUUGAGCAGGCCUUCAUG